CUGAGAUUUCCUGAUGAAAUAAAAGCAUUAGAGAUUUCCUGAUGAUAUAGAAGCAUUAGAAUUCAUGAACAACCACAACCGUAUAUCUUCAACAAAAAUCUGAUCAAGGGGCCUUCCCAUAAAUUAAGAUCAAUGCUUCUUGAGGAGAUAGUUAAUUUGUUAUUUUGGACUUGAAAAACUUGAAUCUACACAAACCCAUUUCAAAAAAGAAUGAUUUUGCAUAACUGAUUCCCUGCAAGAAAGAAAAA